rnacentral:tRNA from 1 species
GGAGGGGUGCCGGAGUGGUUGAUCGGGCCGGUCUCGAAAACCGGUAUAGGGGGUAACCCCUAUCGAGGGUUCGAAUCCCUCCUCCUCCGCCA